GUGCGUAUACAUAGUAUGAAGAGCUAUCAAACAACAGUACUGUUCUUCAUCACUGACACGAGAGCAAAGUCAUUACAUUCCAUUCCAGAAGCUUUAAUAUUAUUACCUUCUCUCGUCCUCGUUCUCAGAAGUAAGUUUUAUUAUUAGUUUCACUUUCAAAUUAUCAGUCUAUUCAGCUUGCAGGGAAUUCUUGGAAAGAAAACGUUCCCAGAAAGUGGUUAAGGCAACCCUUACUACAUGAUUUCGUCCAGUUGAUUCAGAUUCCAAGAAAAAAGAAAUGGGCCUACAUGUAGCUAACUGAAAUUACCAACAUAAGUUUGGCUUGGUAGUGUAACAGUAAACAGGAGUGGUUUAGACGCUUUUGCAAAAUGUCAGCAUGACGAGAAGACAGCCACUUGUCUUCUCGACAAUGAGUGCUGUCUUGAGUUGAGUCUCAGACAAUUUCAAGGCCCUGAGAGAGGAAACAUGGCCAACUCCACAGACACUGUACUACAGGAGAAGCUCUAUACGGGCCGACAGAUGAACUAAGCAGGACGGCGGACAGAUACCGGACUUCAAGUGUGAUAUAAAUAAUUAUGCAAUCGAGAAGAAGAAGACAAUUUCAACUGUAUAUAUAUAGGAUACGCAUGUAAUAAUACUACCAUCCUUCUAAAAUAUCUAGAAAUUAUAAAUUUUACUUACUUGUACAUGUAGGCCUACAUUCCCUUUUAUUUCUACCCAAAACUCAUUCUUUUGCAAGUCAGUUGUCCCGUUUCAUGCCACAAACCAGUUGCUGACAAUAGAAAAACCUAUUUUAUCUUUCACAUGUCAUUUGUACAUGUACUAUGGAAAAAAAAAGCCGUCUUGUCUUCAUUUGUCUUCAAAUGGUUUUACAUCUAUAUAUCCACUGCAUCCGAACACGAGAAGCAGUCACCCUCUUACUAUAAUGGAGAAUCAACACUUAUUAAAAAGUAUAAUUUGA